GCAACUUGACUACAGUUUGAC
rnacentral:miRNA from 1 species